rnacentral:lncRNA from 1 species
UGUGAAUGCGAGGAGACCAGCCACUGAUGCCGACUCUUCUAGGAGGAUGCAAAGCGCACACAUACAAACCUUUUCCAAAAGGAGAGAAAAAUUCAGGGCUCUAAUGAGCAAUGGAUGAGAAAAAACAGAUGCAAAACGUCUGGUGCACACGAGAGAUGGUCCAUAACAAGCAGUAUCACCAUGGAGCUAUACUUUCGGACAAGAGAAACUCCUGUCUUUACUGGGAAUGCUACAACUGCUGUGUCAUAAAUCAGAAAGCUCUAAUGGGUUG